GGCCACAUCAGCAAAGUGAGAAUGGAAGCUUUUCUGAGGAGGUGAGAGAUCUGAGUCAUGUAAAGAAAGAAGCCAGGUGAAGAUCUAGGAGAAGAAUAUCCCAGGUAAGAUAAUCUCCUGGAGGCAGGAACGAGAUGGAUAUGUUUUAGGGAACUGACUCAGCCUGUGUUAUUGAAAGGUGGAAGGCGUGGUAGAGAUGAGACAGGAAAGUUCAGCGGGCCACGUGGACCAUGGUGAUGGGAAGUCAUUGAACAGUUUUGAGCAGGGAAGGUAACAGGGUCUAAUUAAUUCUCUCAAAAAAUCACUCACUAUGUGGGAGAGGAUGUGUUAUGGUCAGGGAAGGUGGACAGCAAGUACAGAGACAGGCAGAGUUGGAC
rnacentral:lncRNA from 1 species